rnacentral:rRNA from 1 species
AUGAACGCUAGCGGCAGGCCUAAUACAUGCAAGUCGAACGGUAACAUUGGUGCUUGCACCAGAUGACGAGUGGCGCACGGGUGCGUAACGCGUAUGCAAUCUACCUUUUACUAGAGUAUAGCCCAGAGAAAUUUGGAUUAAUCCUCUAUAAUAUCUUUUAAUUUCAUGAUUUUAAGAUUAAAGUUUUAACGGUAAAAGAUGAGCAUGCGUCCUAUUAGUUUGUAGGUGAGGUAACGGCUCACCUAGACUACGAUAGGUAGGGGCCCUGAGAGGGGGAUCCCCCACACUGGUACUGAGACACGGACCAGACUCCUACGGGAGGCAGCAGUGAGGAAUAUUAGACAAUGGGCGAAAGCCUGAUCUAGCCAUGCCGCGUGCAGGAUGACGGCCCUAUGGGUUGUAAACUGCUUUUAUACAGGAAGAAAAAACUCUACGUGUAGAGUCUUGACGGUACUGUAAGAAUAAGGAUCGGCUAACUCCGUGCCAGCAGCCGCGGUAAUACGGAGGAUCCAAGCGUUAUCCGGAAUUAUUGGGUUUAAAGGGUCCGUAGGUGGACAAUUAAGUCAGAGGUGAAAUCCUGCAGCUCAACUGUAGAAUUGCCUUUGAAACUGGUUGUCUUGAGUCAUUAUGAAGUGGUUAGAAUGUGUAGUGUAGCGGUGAAAUGCAUAGAUAUUACACAGAAUACCAAUUGCGAAGGCAGAUCACUAAUAAUGUACUGACACUGAUGGACGAAAGCGUGGGUAGCGAACAGGAUUAGAUACCCUGGUAGUCCACGCCGUAAACGAUGGUCACUAGCUGUUCGGACUUCGGUCUGAGUGGCUAAGCGAAAGUGAUAAGUGACCCACCUGGGGAGUACGUUCGCAAGAAUGAAACUCAAAGGAAUUGACGGGGGCCCGCACAAGCGGUGGAGCAUGUGGUUUAAUUCGAUGAUACGCGAGGAACCUUACCAGGGCUUAAAUGUAGAGUGACAGGUCUAGAGAUAGAUUUUUCUUCGGACACUUUACAAGGUGCUGCAUGGUUGUCGUCAGCUCGUGCCGUGAGGUGUCAGGUUAAGUCCUAUAACGAGCGCAACCCCUGUUGUUAGUUGCCAGCGAGUAAUGUCGGGAACUCUAGCAAGACUGCCAGUGCAAACUGUGAGGAAGGUGGGGAUGACGUCAAAUCAUCACGGCCCUUACGUCCUGGGCUACACACGUGCUACAAUGGUAGGUACAGAGAGCAGCCAAUGCGUGAGCAUGAGCGAAUCUAUAAAACCUAUCUCAGUUCGGAUCGGAGUCUGCAACUCGACUCCGUGAAGCUGGAAUCGCUAGUAAUCGGAUAUCAGCCAUGAUCCGGUGAAUACGUUCCCGGGCCUUGUACACACCGCCCGUCAAGG